AACACUGGGUUGCCCGUUCAGCUGCACUGGGAUGACUGAAGUGUGCUGAGAUUAGCCAUGUUUAGGGCUAUAUGUUUUCAGCAGCAUUCUAAAUAUUAAGUUGCAUUAUGACUGUAAAUAUUUACACAGUAAAAUGAUGUUCAGUGUUAAUUCAACUCUUAGCAGAGUACAUCUGCGUCCAGUAGGGACCAUAUGUACUCUGUAAGAGUAGAUUUAUCACUGGACAUCAGCUGUGUAUGUUAUAAGUCGCAUAUGGUCGAACAAAAUGUUUAUGCUUGUGUGGACGUGAAUUGUCUGGUAAGGGUUCCCUCAGAAGAUAAAUAAUAAAAUGUUGAGUUGAUAAAUAUUUGUGGUUUACUGCUACCAAUUUUUAGGAAGUUCAUUCAAUAUAGAUUUGUAUGAGAAGCAGAAAAGAUCUCACAAAUCACAGUAGAAUGCAGAAUUAAUAUGAGGAGUGAGUCAUCAGAAACAUGUUGCUUAAUGCAUGUUUUCCACAAUUUAAAUAUAAAAAAGGUUGAAUAGAACAGGGAUGGGUAAGAAGGACCAUAUGUGUUGUCUGUAUUGAUAGGGCAUUUUAGAAAAUGCAUCGAUAUGCACAUUAAAUAAUAGCUGAAAACUGUUCUUGUGUCCCUACAUGAAAGGUUUUACUGUGGCCAGAUGAAUGUGUGAACCAAUGUUGGUCUGUGUAGAUAAUUAAUUGAUUCAGGGUAAAUCUUCAUACACAUUGGCCCUCCAGGAAUGAUAUUGACCAUGUCUGGAUAACAGAGACUCACUGAUUGACUUGUCUCCAGCUGAAAAAUUUAGGAGCACACUAAUGCCUCCCAAUUAGUAGAUGAACGGCUAAAUUAUUAGCACACAUCAGUUUUCAGGAGCAAAUGGUCCUAAAAUGGGAGCACUGUAGAGAACAGCAAUUGCACUGAACACAAAUUAUUUAGAGCAAAAAUCUUAAAUGAAAUAAUCUAGAGUUUUUCAGUAUUUCAAAGAGAAAGAUACAUUUGAGCUGUUUUGUGAAAAACACGUCUUGUUGCACUAUUUUACAGUCACAGGUCAUACAAUUUGCUGUAGCGAGUACCGUUACUGUUUUCUAACAUGGCCCUUUGAGGUUGCUGGAUGACUGUAAGCGUUUCCAUUCUGAGCACUGUGAUUGCUGGGCUUUUUUUUUUUUUUUUUUAAAUGCCCAUCAGCAUCCCUCUCUGCCUCAUCUGGUCUGAAGCUCACGCUGAUUAGAAGCUGAAAUGCUGCAUAUCCGGUGACACCCCCGCCCGCCCUACCCCCCCCCCCUCGCAGUCCGCUCCGCACAGGGGUGAUUCACCGCGCGCGGCGUACGCGGUCCGCUGACGUCAUCGCCAUCUCCGGCCCAUCUGUGCGGCCCCCUGCCAGGUGGUUUUAGGACUGCUGUGUGGCUGCUGGCGAUUCGCUUUUCCGGAUGGAAUGCUGGCUAGGCAGGAAACUGCCCACUAUACUGCCGGUGAACAGAAAAGUGCUUUUUAAUGAGAUCAAGAAUGACUCUCAAAGGAGUGCCAGGAUUUUUUCAGGAUUUUUCCAGACAAUUUUGUAAUUUGUAAUUCUACACUAUCACACCAUAAACCUCCGUCAGAUGGUCAUUUGAUUUUAAAAAAAUGCAUUAACAUUGCUUUAUUUUAUAAUUAUUAUUAUUAUAUUUAAAGAUUUUUCCUUGUGAACCACCAUUAUAAAGGUGUGUGUGCACCAUGGUCCAGUGACGAUAAGCAAACAUUGCCCGGCACUGCUUCACCACUAGGGGGAAGCAUUGGGUUCCACCUUGAACUCAGGAAGUCUGGGGUUGCCCAGGUCAGACACCUGACCCAGACGCCAUUUAAUGAGAUCAGAGGGAGCAAUCAGGCCAGAGUGUCUGUCCCUCUGUCCCCCGCCACUGGGGGGGAAUCACCGCUGCCUGCUAUUUUAGGACCCGCAGUGCGAUGUACACACCACCAUUGUCAUUCCAGAGUGAUUCUGUUCAGGCUUCUGGUUAGCCAGCCACUUGAUCUCCAUAAAUGACAGUUGCUGUUUGAUCAGGGGCCUUUUUUCAGCAUUGCAUUCACUGUGCAGAUAAAGAAGGACAAUGAGCAUCUGUCAAAUAGAGAUGGUGAGAUAUGAGCUGAGAAACCCCAUGUCUUUAGCAUUGAGCAAAGUGAAUAUUUACCUAAAUUCUGCCAGUAAAAUUCUACUAGUAAAUCUGCUAGUGUCUCCUGUUAAAUGGCCCGGCAGGUACAGUGAAAAUUGGGCUGGACACUUGGUGCUGCAUUCAAGUCUUUAUUCAUCCCUUCUUUUUACUGAAAACUUUUGCUAAAGAAUGUCUCCUCGUUAUAAAAUAACAUUUAUUACACACAGUUUGACCAUCCAUAUUCACAGAACUUCCGCUGCUCUCUAAUAUGAAUUUGUGCUUUUCCAGGCCAUUAUUGUAUACCUGUUGUAUGCUUCGCCUUUACUCAAAAUAUGAUGACUAAUGUUUUCAUUCAGAGAACAGAUGGCCAUUCCACAUGCCCUAUAUCAUUUACUUGCAAGUUCAUUGCUAUUCCACGUCCUCUUUUGAGUGCGUGCACAGUCACCCUCCUGGAUUUCUUUGUUUUUUUCGUUGUAAACAUGCAAUUGACAUCACACUGGGGAGUCAGGGAGACUUGUUUAUCUAGGCUACAUAAAGCAGGAGAACAGAAAUCCUGCUAUGCAUUCGGAAACACUCCAGGCCUCAGUAAUGUAUGUUGAAAUCGGUUGUUUUGUCUCAUUCCUGCCUUCUUUUGUAUUCUUCGCUAACCCUCAAAUUGUGUUUUAAGCUGUGACGAUGCCAGUGCGGGUCGGGGAGAAAAGCAGAAAAUUGGGCAGCGAAAGGACGUAGGCUAGCGUGUGCCUGGUGUUUGAUUUCUGUGAGUCACUGGUUGUUAUGGCGACAACCUACUUUUCAGCAGGCUUUCCGCGCGCAGUUUUCCUGGCAUGUCCAGCUGCAGCCGCAGUCCUCCUAAGCCACAGCCCACGGAUUGCUCACCGUCUCUACGGUGAAGAAUAAAUAAACAUGGAAAAGGUUGCCAACGUUUUAUAAUUAGCAGGGCAUUUUUGCUCAGAAUCUAUACUUUUUGUCCAAGUGUUUCUCUAAUAUGGAGGUCGAUGAGCAACUAAUGCAUAAAUCUUUUUCUUUCUUUUUUUUUUAUUGUACCUAAUCACAGUUAUCCCAUGGCUUGUUGUCAUGGUAAACAUGUCCAAUUAAUGAAUGGUGUGGGACAGUGGUCCUUGGUAAUGAACAGUAUCAGUAGUGCACCAUCGUGAUUGCUGGGUUGUUCCCUCAGUAUCUGACUUUGCCUUUGAGAAAACCUUGGCUUUCGCUGUUGCACGCGCAAUUAAAUGGUCCCAUUCCUUCACUCAAAUACAAUGGCGUGGGUAGAAGUCCAUGCAGUGUAAUGUCAUGUAACUUACUCAAAGUCAAAGAGCGCUUUUCUUUGGUUCAUCAGCUAUCUGUAGCACCUGUGAUGGUACAUAUUGGCCUUUAGUACCGGAAGCAAAAUGUCCUGCUUUCAAAGUUUGCAGUCUCGUGUGUGGGUCCCAAGUGUGCAGUCCCGUGUGCGGUGACUGAAACAGCCAUGUUGGGUCACAGUAAGAUGGGCCCGAGUGUGGGUGGGCCCAAGCACAUAGACCGUGCGUGCGUAUGUGUUCUGCUGCAGUCAAUUUCCAGACGUGUGCUCAUAUUUAUGAUAUUUUAUUUCAGUAUAAAAUGCAAGUGAAACCGUCACUGCGUGUCUGGAGUCGGUAAAAUGGCAGAUAUCUUCAGUGCUGUUACGCAUGAACUUGUGAAGGGGUUUUAACAGUCCCUUCCGUGUGGUGGAGUGGCGACGCAGGAAGCAGCUGAAGUAUCCGUGGCGUUUUUGGCGGCCCGGCGUGGCGCGUUUGCGAUCCCCGGGGCGCAGUGACGCAGUCUCUCAGAGAGGGCGGCGACUUGUGCCAGUCCCCGCGGUUAAGAGUUCAGCUGAACGCUGCGUUCAGUACAUUAUCUCCAGGUCAGACCAGCGCGGGGGACAAAAGGGAAAAGGCCACGAGCUCAGUGUGAAACGAGGGUUGUCUUACGUAUGGGGCUUGUUCUUUCCCAGGAACACUGUUCAGCUUUACACAGAUAAUCUGUUCAGUAUGUAUUAAUCUCACAUUUAGUCUUUUAAUAAUAAUAAUAAUAAUAAUAAUAAUAAUAAAAACAGUGAGAAU